CCCAUGAAUAAGCCUUGACCUCAUGCUGGAUGAUAAUAUAUGAGUCAUCUUUUACAUGAAGCUUUUACCAAAAGUCUUCUCCCACAGUCCUCAUAUCUUAUGCUGAGCAGAAAUAUCUACAGUGAAUGUGAAGCAGUGGUGGAGCCAGUACAAAUGGGGAAUCAUUGGUGCCAUGGAGCAGCAAGUGCCUGAAUCCGAGAGCCAUGGAGUAAACAACACACCAACAAGGGCAUAAUGAGCAACUGAAGAGUGGUAGUUGUUUUUCUAGUUUUUUCUCUCAGCAGCGCAGUAGAGAGAACUUGCGGAAGCAUUCCAGGGAUCUUCACCGCAGUUGGUGGAUUCACAGGGAGGUGGCACAUAAGGAUCCGGACCACCAAAAGGAUAAAG